rnacentral:lncRNA from 1 species
AAUUCUAGUGUUUUGGCCGUAAAAUGCAAAACAUGAGGAAAGGUCAUGGCGGGGUGGUGACUAUGGUUCCUUAGGUCGUAUUUAAUGGCCCGAAAGGUUUUUAGGGAAUCUAGUUCCGGGGGCCCCUACCCACUGGGGAGGCGUGGGCUAUAGCACACGAAAAUAUGGGAAUCGGGCGGAAAUCUAGUUUUUUGGCCGUAAAAUGCAAAACAUGAGGAACGAUCAUGGCGGGGCGGUGACUAUGGUUCCUUAGGUCGUAUUUGAUGGCCCAAAAAAGUUUUACGCAAUCCAGUUUUGGGGGGCUCGGGCCCACUCGGAAGGCGGUGACUAUGGUUCCUUAUGUCAUAUUUGAUGGCUUGGAAAAAUUUUAGGCGAUCCGGUUUUGUGGGCCCACUGGGGAGGCGUGGGCUAUAGCAAACGAAAAUAUGGGAAUCGGGCGAAAUUCUAGUUUUUUGGCCGUAAAAUGCAAAACAUGAGGAAUGGUCAUGGAGGGGUGGUGAAUAUGGUUCCUUAGGUCGUAUUUAAUGGCCCGAAAGGUUUUUAGGGAAUCCAGUUCCGGGGCCCCUACCCACUGGGGAGGCGUGGGCUAUAGUAAACGAAAAUAUGGGAAUCAGACGGAAUUAUAGUUUUUUGGCCCAAAAAAGCAAAAUAUGAGGAACGAUCAUGGCGGGGCGGUGACUAUGGUUCCUUAGGUCGUAUUUGAUGGCCCGGAAAAAUUUUAGGCGAUCGGGGUCCCGGAGUCCCGGGACCACUUGGAAGGCGUGGGCUAUAGCACACGAAAAUAUGGGAAUCAGGCGAAAUUCUAAUUUUUUGGCCGUAAAACGCAAAAUAUGAGGAAUGGUAAUGGCGGGGCGGUAACUAUGGUUCUUUAGGUCGUAUUUCAUGGCCCGGAAAAUUUUUAGACGUUCGGGGUCCGGGGGCCCUUGCACACUUGGAAGGCGUGGGCUAUAGCACACAAAAAUAUGGGAAUCGGGCGGAAUU